UAUUUUGAAUACAUUGCAUGAAUAUCCUUUUCAAUUUAGUGAUUCUGAUGAACAAAGUUCAAGUACCAUGGGAACUGGGUAUGAUGCAUUUCACUCUCAGGCACGCUAGGCAAACCAUAAGACCAAGUAUGCAUAGGUCGUGAAGCUAGGCUUUGGAACCCGUAGUACCUUAUGCAUAUAUGUCAGGGUAUUAGGAUAACGGUGUAUUAAGGAUUUAUUAUCUAGGGGCAUUAUCAUCAUUUCUCAUGGGAUGUUAUCUUGUACCGGCCAGAUUCUUUAUAAGGCUAUCCUUGUAUCAUUGUUCAGCUAAGAAAUCAAAACCCAAAUUUUAUCAUGCAUUUAUUUCUUUAUCUCAGUUCUUAAAAUUCCAGCAUUUUAUCUUCUUUGACCUGCAAUUUAUCACUGUUCUACUGAAUCUUGUUGAAUUCCGAGUUCUUGCCGAUCUCUCCUUGUCAGAUCCAUCGGGAUCCUGACAAUGUAUACAUAUAUUUAUAGUCUAUUGUCUUAAACUUCAAAUAUUUCUAAAUCUUUCGGGAUUCUACUUUAUUUUGGGGUCUUACAAAUAAGACUGGGCUUUUAUAGACCCAUGACUUAAGGUGCGUCCACCACUGUCAGUAUUCACAUUGGAUCUGACCAGCUUCCACGUCAAUUCCUUCGACCUCCUGGACCUCGAGGCCCCUUUCUCUGAGGACGAAAUUUGGCGAGCCGUGAAGAGCCUUCCAACGGGAAAGGCACCUGGCCCCGAUGGCUUCACCUCCGAGUUCCUACGCGCCUGCUGGGACAUCAUCAAGCAGGAUAUUUGUGACGCCUUCGACAAGCUCUACACCUUGAACGGGCGCGGCUUCCAAAAGCUCAACGAGGCCCUCCUCACGCUGCUCCCCAAGAGACCAGAUGCCGCCUCCCUCUCGGACUACCGGCCCAUAAGUCUCAUCCACCUGAUUUCCAAGCUUUUCGCCAAAGUACUAGCCUUGCGUCUCGCUCCAAGGCUUAGCUCGAUGAUCUCCACGAACCAAAGCGCGUUCAUUGCUGGACGGUGCAUCCACCACAACUUUCUUCUCGUCCAACAAACUACGCGCCUCCUCCAUAACCUCAAGACCCCCCGCAUGCUACUUAAGCUCGACAUCGCCCGAGCCUUCGAUUCCGUCUCGUGGCCCUUCCUGCUUCAGGUCCUGCAGCACCUCGACUUCGGCCACCGUUGGCGUGACUGGAUCUCAAUCCUUCUCUCCACCGCGUCGACACGGGUCAUGACCAACGGCCACCCUGGCCCUCCUAUCGACCACGCUUGCGGCCUCAGACAGGGAGACCCCAUCUCCCCCAUGCUGUUCACCAUUGUCAUUGAUGUCUUGAACUCGCUCCUCCUCCAGGCGGUCGACACUGGCCUCCUUCAGCGCCUCACGACACGCCACGUGGCCUCGAGCAUUUCACUCUACGCGGAUGACGUCGUCAUUUUCUGCCACCCCGACAGUCACGACAUUGCCACCGUGCACGAGCUCCUUCGGGUGUUUGGGGUGGCCUCGGGGCUCCGCACCAACUUCGACAAAUGCUCCGCAACACCAAUCCAAUGCAGUGAUGACCACAUUGACACGAUCAGGGCUGAGAUGCAAUGUCCGAUCAAGCAUUUCCCUAUCCAAUACCUUGGGCUGCCGUUCUCCAUCCGCAAGCCACCAACCUCGAGCCUUCUUCCAGUCGUCCACAAGCUCGAGAAGAAGCUUUCCACUUGGCGCGCUUCCCUUCUCUCGAAAGGUGACAGGCUUGCCUUGGUCCGCCAUGUCCUUUGCGUGAUCCCAACACACUUCCUCAUCGCCAUCGCGUUCAACAAGUCGAUCCUCAAACGGGUCAAUCGGAUCAUCCGGAGCUUCCUUUCGGCCGGCAACAAGGACGCGACCGGCGGAAAGUGCCUCGUUAACUGGCAAAAAGUUUGUAGACCCAUCUCCCUCGGUGGGCUAGGCAUCCGCGAUCUAUACCGCGCCGGAAUCGCUCUUCGUACGAGAUGGCUUUGGUUGCAACGCACAGAUCCCUCCAGACCCUGGAGCCGCCUUCAUAUCCCGCACGAGGUCGACGUCACCGCCAUCUUCAGGGCGUCCACCACCUGGCGCAUUGGCAACGGCGCCAGCUGCAAAUUCUGGAGCGACCACUGGAUCGAUGGGAGAUCGGUGGCUGAGAUCGCCCCCCUCGUGCACUCGCUUGUGCCUCGACGCCAACGAAAAUCUCGCACCGUUAGCGAGGCCAUGCACCUUAGGUCCUGGGUUCAAGACAUCAGGGGAGCACUGGGCCCAGCGGCCCUGCUACAGUACGUUGACCUUUGGCGGCAGAUCCGGCAUGUCGAGCUCUCGGCCACCCCCGACACCCUUGCUUGGAGAUGGAUGGCCUCUGGCCUCUACUCGGCCAGCUCCUGCUACCAGGCCCUUUUCUACGGGUCCUGCGGUGACGAUCACUGGAAACUCACGUGGAAGCCAUGGGCACCUCUUCGCAUCAAGUUCUUCAUGUGGCUCGCGAUGCAAGAGCGCUGCUGGACAAUGGACCGCCUACUCCGACACGGCCUCUCUGACGACAACAUGUGCGCCCUUUGCGACCAAGAGCCCGAGACCAUGCAGCACCUCCUUGCGGGCUGCUCCUUCUCCAGGCAGAUUUGGCACGAGAUCCUGGCCUGGGCACGAGCUCCUACUAGCCUUCCCGAUGGCAACACCCCCUUCCAAGCUUGGUAGGCAACCUCUAUAAACCAUGCGUCCACCCCCGCUCGCAAAGGCCUUGCCUCCAUCAUCAUCCUCACUGCUUGGGAGAUUUGGAAACACCGCAACGGUUGUGUCUUCGACCACGAUCGGCCAUCCCUCUCCCACCUGACCACAGCCAUCAAAGACGAGGCGCGCCUAUGGGCCAAGGCCGGCGCCGCAGGGAUUAGCAACAUCAUUCCCGAGAGUUAGACUUUUUGCGUUUUUGGGGAUGAGCAGCCCCUUGUUCUGUCUGCUCCACCGCCCGCGAUCAUGCCUCUAGCGUACAUGGCUUGCGUGUGGUUGUAACCUCUUGCUGUAAACUCUUCUUCUAUCAAUGCAAAGAUACGCAACUUGAGUAUUCGCGAAAAAAGAAAGCUGUGUUUGUUGUUUGGUGCUCAACCGAUGCCCACAGUGUUCUACUUUCACCUGUUUUACCGAAUGCAGUGGGCCGGGCAAGACACUUUGAUCUUGAGAGCAUUCCUGCACCACAGGACCCUGAGAAGUUCAGUUUUUGGCUUGUCAACUUGAUUAAUUUGAGGCCAUCGGAUAAACUAGAACUAUUACGCCUCUGUGAUACUCGGGAGAGAAUAUCUCUUAGCCUUAGAUUGCUGGGCAAUGCAGAACAAGGUUGCCGUCUACAGUAACGGAUUUAUAUUUGGCUCACAACCAUUGACUAACAAUGUUCAUUUGUAAUAUUCUUUUAUCACAUAUUCUGAUGCUUGUGAAAUUCUUAUGAUCUUUAUAUAUGUUCUUAUAUUCUCUUACCUGCAGAAAAAACUAUAUAAUUCUUGUACUUGUUCUUAUUAUUGUGAAACCAUUCGAUGUUUGGCGGAA